AAUGAAGACAAAAAUAAUAUAAUGGGUUGGUCGUCUGGCAAGAAUGACUGAAGAGACAGCUUCAGAAAGACUUCUUGAGGAAAAACCUUCAAGAAAAAGAUGUAGGAAAGACCAAAGAAGCAUCGGAAGACAAGGUGAUCUGAGACUUGGAACUACUUGGACUGGAGGAAGACUAGAGGACAGUGGCAGAGGAAUGAAAGAAAUGGCAAGGCUAUGUGCAGGUGGCCAUAAACUACAGAGUCCACGGAGCCAAUAGAAGAAAAAGAAGAUAUGAGCCAUUUAUUUUGAAAGUGGGGCAUGUUCAUUUUUGUUAUUGUGAGAUAUUUAAAGGUUUGCAUUUCAAUAAAUUUAA
rnacentral:lncRNA from 1 species